AGAAAACCUUGAUGUCUCUUGGCUAAGGUCAAGUGCAGUAUCUAUUUUUAUCCAUUUAAUAUUUACUACAUCCUCUAUCCUUGGACAAUAUACUGAAUGGAUUUUUGAAGCAAGAAAAUGGAAUAGGAGCUUGUUUUAACCAAUGUAAGAAGCCACCUAGUAUUGCACUACCUACAGGAAUGGUAUAUCCCCU
ensembl:snRNA U2 U2 spliceosomal RNA